CUUGACAAAAAAUAAGAGGUCCCGCCUGCCCAGUGACUCAUGUUCAACGGCCGCGGUAUCCUAACCGUGCGAAGGUAGCGUAAUCACUUGUUCUUUAAAUGAGGACUAGUAUGAAUGGCGCCACGAGGGUUAUACUGUCUCCCUUUUCCAAUCAGUGAAACUAAUCUCCCCGUGAAGAAGCGGGGGUAAAAUUAUAAGACGAGAAGACCCUAUGGAGCUUUAAAUUUCAAUUCAUAUGCCUUCAAUCCUAAAGUUUCCACUUUACCCCUACAAGAAUAGCAUAACGAAAUAGAAUUUUAGGUUGGGGUGACCGCGGAGCAAAAAACAACCUCCACAUUGGACUAGGCCUUCCACCUUGAGCAAUGAACUACAAUCCUAUGCACAAAAAAAUUUUCAUUCAUUGACCCAAUUUUUUGAUCAACGAAC
rnacentral:rRNA from 1 species